AGCGUACACGGUGGAUGCCCUGGCAGUCAGAGGCGAUGAAGGACGUGCUAAUCUGCGAUAAGCGUCGGUAAGGUGAUAUGAACCGUUAUAACCGGCGAUUUCCGAAUGGGGAAACCCAGUGUGAUUCGUCACACUAUCAUUAACUGAAUCCAUAGGUUAAUGAGGCGAACCGGGGGAACUGAAACAUCUAAGUACCCCGAGGAAAAGAAAUCAACCGAGAUUCCCCCAGUAGCGGCGAGCGAACGGGGAGCAGCCCAGAGCCUGAAUCAGUGUGUGUGUUAGUGGAAGCGUCUGGAAAGGCGUGCGAUACAGGGUGACAGCCCCGUACACAAAAAUGCACAUAUUGUGAGCUCGAUGAGUAGGGCGGGACACGUGGUAUCCUGUCUGAAUAUGGGGGGACCAUCCUCCAAGGCUAAAUACUCCUGACUGACCGAUAGUGAACCAGUACCGUGAGGGAAAGGCGAAAAGAACCCCGGCGAGGGGAGUGAAAAAGAACCUGAAACCGUGUACGUACAAGCAGUGGGAGCCUCUUUUAUGGGGUGACUGCGUACCUUUUGUAUAAUGGGUCAGCGACUUAUAUUCUGUAGCAAGGUUAACCGAAUAGGGGAGCCGAAGGGAAACCGAGUCUUAACUGGGCGUUAAGUUGCAGGGUAUAGACCCGAAACCCGGUGAUCUAGCCAUGGGCAGGUUGAAGGUUGGGUAACACUAACUGGAGGACCGAACCGACUAAUGUUGAAAAAUUAGCGGAUGACUUGUGGCUGGGGGUGAAAGGCCAAUCAAACCGGGAGAUAGCUGGUUCUCCCCGAAAGCUAUUUAGGUAGCGCCUCGUGAAUUCAUCUCCGGGGGUAGAGCACUGUUUCGGCAAGGGGGUCAUCCCGACUUACCAACCCGAUGCAAACUGCGAAUACCGGAGAAUGUUAUCACGGGAGACACACGGCGGGUGCUAACGUCCGUCGUGAAGAGGGAAACAACCCAGACCGCCAGCUAAGGUCCCAAAGUCAUGGUUAAGUGGGAAACGAUGUGGGAAGGCCCAGACAGCCAGGAUGUUGGCUUAGAAGCAGCCAUCAUUUAAAGAAAGCGUAAUAGCUCACUGGUCGAGUCGGCCUGCGCGGAAGAUGUAACGGGGCUAAACCAUGCACCGAAGCUGCGGCAGCGACGCUUAUGCGUUGUUGGGUAGGGGAGCGUUCUGUAAGCCUGUGAAGGUGUGCUGUGAGGCAUGCUGGAGGUAUCAGAAGUGCGAAUGCUGACAUAAGUAACGAUAAAGCGGGUGAAAAGCCCGCUCGCCGGAAGACCAAGGGUUCCUGUCCAACGUUAAUCGGGGCAGGGUGAGUCGACCCCUAAGGCGAGGCCGAAAGGCGUAGUCGAUGGGAAACAGGUUAAUAUUCCUGUACUUGGUGUUACUGCGAAGGGGGGACGGAGAAGGCUAUGUUGGCCGGGCGACGGUUGUCCCGGUUUAAGCGUGUAGGCUGGUUUUCCAGGCAAAUCCGGAAAAUCAAGGCUGAGGCGUGAUGACGAGGCACUACGGUGCUGAAGCAACAAAUGCCCUGCUUCCAGGAAAAGCCUCUAAGCAUCAGGUAACAUCAAAUCGUACCCCAAACCGACACAGGUGGUCAGGUAGAGAAUACCAAGGCGCUUGAGAGAACUCGGGUGAAGGAACUAGGCAAAAUGGUGCCGUAACUUCGGGAGAAGGCACGCUGAUAUGUAGGUGAAGUCCCUUGCGGAUGGAGCUGAAAUCAGUCGAAGAUACCAGCUGGCUGCAACUGUUUAUUAAAAACACAGCACUGUGCAAACACGAAAGUGGACGUAUACGGUGUGACGCCUGCCCGGUGCCGGAAGGUUAAUUGAUGGGGUCAGCGCAAGCGAAGCUCUUGAUCGAAGCCCCGGUAAACGGCGGCCGUAACUAUAACGGUCCUAAGGUAGCGAAAUUCCUUGUCGGGUAAGUUCCGACCUGCACGAAUGGCGUAAUGAUGGCCAGGCUGUCUCCACCCGAGACUCAGUGAAAUUGAACUCGCUGUGAAGAUGCAGUGUACCCGCGGCAAGACGGAAAGACCCCGUGAACCUUUACUAUAGCUUGACACUGAACAUUGAGCCUUGAUGUGUAGGAUAGGUGGGAGGCUUUGAAGUGUGGACGCCAGUCUGCAUGGAGCCGACCUUGAAAUACCACCCUUUAAUGUUUGAUGUUCUAACGUGGACCCGUGAUCCGGGUUGCGGACAGUGUCUGGUGGGUAGUUUGACUGGGGCGGUCUCCUCCUAAAGAGUAACGGAGGAGCACGAAGGUUGGCUAAUCCUGGUCGGACAUCAGGAGGUUAGUGCAAUGGCAUAAGCCAGCUUGACUGCGAGCGUGACGGCGCGAGCAGGUGCGAAAGCAGGUCAUAGUGAUCCGGUGGUUCUGAAUGGAAGGGCCAUCGCUCAACGGAUAAAAGGUACUCCGGGGAUAACAGGCUGAUACCGCCCAAGAGUUCAUAUCGACGGCGGUGUUUGGCACCUCGAUGUCGGCUCAUCACAUCCUGGGGCUGAAGUAGGUCCCAAGGGUAUGGCUGUUCGCCAUUUAAAGUGGUACGCGAGCUGGGUUUAGAACGUCGUGAGACAGUUCGGUCCCUAUCUGCCGUGGGCGCUGGAGAACUGAGGGGGGCUGCUCCUAGUACGAGAGGACCGGAGUGGACGCAUCACUGGUGUUCGGGUUGUCAUGCCAAUGGCACUGCCCGGUAGCUAAAUGCGGAAGAGAUAAGUGCUGAAAGCAUCUAAGCACGAAACUUGCCCCGAGAUGAGUUCU
rnacentral:rRNA from 1 species